rnacentral:rRNA from 1 species
CUAGCUGUAAACGAUGGAUACUAGGCGUUGAGAGUAUCGACCCUCUCAGUGUCGUAGCUAACGCGUUAAGUAUCCCGCCUGGGGAGUACGCGCGCAAGCGUGAAACUCAAAGGAAUUGACGGGGGCCCGCACAAGCGGUGGGGUAUGUGGUUUAAUUCGAUGCAACGCGAAGAACCUUACCAGGGCUUGACAUGUCCGGAACCCUGCCCAAAGGCGGGGGUGCCUACGGGAACCGGAACACAGGUGGUGC